rnacentral:tRNA from 1 species
UCCCUGGUGGCUCAGAGGUUAAAGCGUCUGUCUCCAACGCUGGAGACCCGGGUUCGAUCCCUGGGUCGGGAA